UGAAACGUUUCCCAAGACAUGCGGAGUGCGGCAGGCUGGGUCCGUUUCACAGACUCCCACCAGUAGUCUGCCUCGCCACGGAACAUAAAGGUGGCGAAUGGAACCUUCUGUUCCUCCGUGCAUCCCAAGACAUCGAAUAUCUUGGUAAUUUGCUUGACCCAUGUUUCCGCCAUGAUCGGAUCAGGCUUUCCCUUAAAUUCUGGUGGUCCC
rnacentral:lncRNA from 1 species